GUGGAGUGGGAAUAAAGAGCCAACAUAAUAUGGAUGGGGAAUGCCUAUAAAUCAACAUUCUUCAAUUGCAAAAGUGCUUGAUUUUCAUUAAAAAUAAGAUGGUUCCCUACAAAAAAUCCUUUGUCGAUAAAACGGCAAAGGAUUUUUUUC
rnacentral:sRNA from 1 species